rnacentral:rRNA from 1 species
ACUCAAAGGAAUAGACGGGGACCCGCACAAGCGGUGGAGCAUGUGGUUUAAUUCGAAGCAACGCGAAGAACCUUACCAGGUUUUGACAUACCUAUGCUAGACCAAGAGAUUGGUUGUUCUUUCGGGACAUAGGAUACAGGUGGUGCAUGGUUGUCGUCAGCUCGUGUCGUGAGAUGUUGGGUUAAGUCCCGCAACGAGCGCAACCCUUAUUUCUAGUUGCCAGCAUUAAGUUGGGGACUCUAGAGAGACUGCCAGUGAUAAACUGGAGGAAGGUGGGGAUGAGGUCAAAUCAUCAUGCCCCUUAUAACCUGGGCUACACACGUGCUACAAUGGCUCAUACAAAGGGAAGCGAAGGCGUAAGUUGGAGCAAACCCCAAAAAGUGAGUCUCAGUUCGGAUUGUGCUCUGCAACUCGAGCACAUGAAGGUGGAAUCGCUAGUAAUCGCGAAUCAGAAUGUCGCGGUGAAUACGUUCCCGGGUCUUGUACACACCGCCCGU